rnacentral:misc_RNA from 1 species
CUUUAUUCUCUAUACCCUUAAAGUGUAGGAAAAUUAAUUAAGCUACCUCCUGAUUUGGCCUCUAUUCAUUAUGGAAUACAAAGUUUCCGAAGGAUAAUCAGAAUCAAGCUCAAAUAAUUGUUUCAUAUUAUAAGGUUUUGUAAUUUCUGGUUCACCAUUCCACAGAAGCUCGGCGAACAAGAUGUUGGCACUUUCGCAAGGAUGGGCACCAUCAAAAAAUACAUAUUCACUUGGAUUAUUGCACACAUAAUAGGGUUCUAUUCCACAAUGACUGGCAUUGUUCGACCCAUAACCACAACAAGCAACAUCUGCUACCUGGAAACCAUAUUUUGAAGGGUUUUUAAUAAUAUCAUAAAGCGAAGUGUAAUAAUCAAAAACUGAAUAUUUGAAUCCCUCUAAUUGGUUCUCUAGCACUUGAGCUGCCUUAAGCAACGCAUUGUUAAGUUGUCUUGCCAUCUCUGAGAGACUUUCAACACACUCAUCGCCACUGAUUCCAUUCACUUGUUUUGCGAGUGGUAGGCAACCCAUUGGUCCUACGUUUUGGAAGGCAAGUUUCCUUCCUCCCAUUUCAUAUAUUUCCUUGAUCACUUCUGUUAAAUUGCCAAUCACUACUUGUAGAAAUUGUUCUUGCUCUGAUUCUGUAGCAUUGGGGUAGUUGCCAGCAAAGUAAGUAAUGUCAUUGCCUCCAAUGCUAAAUAAAUACAAUGCUUCCAUCAACAUCUUCUUUCCCUCUUCUUCACCAAGCUCCUGCCUCAACUGUGAGGCCACCUUCUUGAAGAAACUUAGUUGCAAUCUAAGGUUAAUCAAUCCUGGAUUAGUCUCAGGAAGAACACCAGCACCACUAGCAGCAAAAUUGGCUCCAUUAGUGAACUGCUGACUACCAGGUUCUAGGUAAGGUUUCCACAGUGGUAACUUUGCAUCCAUGGCAAUGAAGUCAGGGAUAAUGCGACCAUCACAAAAUCUCCCAGUUGGGAACCCGAAGAAGGUCUCCCCAUAUGGCCAAUACACUGCCUUAUCUUGAAUGCUUAUAUUCAGAUAGUUAUUGUUGCCUGGAUCGUAGACAGAAUCCCCAAAUACAAACAGGGCAGUUUGCUUUCCAUCGGAGUUUACUGAGAUGAGAUUGAGAAGGCAGGCAAUGAACAACAAGAAUCCCAAGAGAAACCUUGGGCUUGACAUUUUCUGAUUGGAAAGAGCAGGGUAAUUU